rfam:Schistosoma mattheei strain Denwood, Zambia genome assembly, scaffold: SMTD_contig0003108
ACCUUGCUGAUGAGUGCCAAGUAGCACGAAACCCGCGUCCAGGGU